rnacentral:lncRNA from 1 species
GCACGGUAAGAAAAGAUUUAUUUUAAAAAGACAGAAGGAGCACAAACCACAAAGUUAAAGAUGGAUACAUGCGACUACAAUUAAAUAAAAACUCUGUGCAGCAAAUAGCAUUUUAAAGACAUGGACAGGCAACUCCCAUAAGAGGAAAUCGGAUGAGCAUACACGUUAAAAGGUGCUCAACCAUCCAAGUCAUCUGAGAGAUGCCUCGACACCACAAGAGGCCAUUUCACAUCCAUCACGUUGGCAAAAAUGUAAAAGGGCUGACAGCAUCAAGUGUAGGCGAGGCAGUGGGACCAACAGGGCUCCCGUACACUGCUGGUUGUGUGUAAUUUAGUGCAAAUGGUUUAGGAAGCAAUUAGGCAAUACCCAGUGAAGUCAAAGAUGCAUAUAUUUUGUGACCCAACAAUUUCGCUCACGGAUCUAUAACCUAGAGAGCGACUUGAAGUAUUUUCUUGGUCAUGAGUCACCGUAUGAAAUCAUUGUCAUUUGUAACCCCAUGUAGAUUUAUAAUUGAAGCAAAAGUUUUCAGCAAGAAUUUGUCUCCUGCAUGCAAAGCCCUCAGAUAUUUUCAUUUUAUUCUACUUAAUUGUUUGAUGCUCAGCACGAUUAACUAAAUUGAUUUCAUGAUGCAUUAAGGCAGUGCUUCUCAAUCUUGACUACAUAUUACUAUCAUCUUCUUGGCUUUUAAAUCUUCAUUAACCAGGCCACUACCCAAACAAGCUAAAUUGGAAUAUUUGGAAAUACCAAAAUGUCCAUCAACAGGAAAUUGGAUAAAUGCACUACGCUUUUUUCCUACAGCGGAAGAAGACACAGCAGUAAAAUACAUGACCCAAAAGAACGCAAAUCAACAUGGGUGCGUCUCAAGAACAGAUCAUGAACAAAGCAAGUUUCGGAAAAGUAACUUACAGCGCAACACCAUUUUGUGAGGCUUCAAAACAUGUGCAACAAAAUGAUAUCUUUUUAUGGAUAGAUAUAGAUUGAGAAAAAAAUAGAGAAAGGCAUGGAAAUGAAAACCGCUACAUUCAGAAUAGCAAUUACCUCGGGGAGGAGGUGGGGAGAAUGAAAUCCAGGAGGGGGAGGCGUAGACAGGGAACUUCAGCCGCAUUAUGUAUUGUUUAAUUACUUAAGCUGAAUGGUGGGCAUAUACGCAUUGGUGGUAUUACUCCUUUUUUGCUUAUUUGUAUGUCUGAUACAUCUCAUGCUAAAAAAAUUCAUCCUAAAGACUGGUAUAUCAUCAUGUGGAAUAGAAAAUGACAAUUCUACAUGAAUAUUGAGCCCUUGGGGCUAGGGUUUUAUUGGUGACUUGACAGCCCAGGUCCUUUGACGCCAUUGUAGAGACAAAGUCCUCCUGGUUGGCGUUGUCUUGGAGUAGAGCUGAGACGAGAACACCGAGCCCUAGGAACAAGGUCAGUCUAGGACGACACCACCAUCAACAACCCCAAAUAUUUCCCUAGGUCAGCCGAACUCUGGGACAGGGGAUGAACUAAAGCUGAGAGCGAGCAGAUCUUUGUCCGGACCGUUCUUGGGUGGAAUUGCACUGCUGACGUCCACUGUCUAGCUGAAGUCACUCGCCAUCUCGCUGAGGGAAUGAACCGCAGAGGAGCUCAAGGAGUUGAUUUGGGAUCCAGGACCCCUUUGAGGAGGUGGCUCGGGCAGCCGUCAAGGGUCGUGGGCCCCCAAGGCCAGCAUGACGGUACUGAGUGCCCAGGGGACUUCAGAAGAGAAUGAAGAAAGGAACGUGGGAGGCACCAAAGUCAAGCCCUGUCUACUUCCUCUUUUAGGUUCGGGCUCAGUCCUGCCUCCCGCACUUUCCCCCAGGGAGCAAAUCUGAAUCCCAGGUGGGUAUCUUCUUGUCCAGGAAACAACACUAUAUCAUUGGAGAGAUGGGGAGGCUAGAGAGGGUGGCAGAGACUUAGAAGACAGACUUAACAAGGUUUGGCUACUGAUAUGGGGAUGAAAACGGAAAGCUGUUGAGGGUGGGAGUUGAAGAAGGGUUUUCGUGGCCAAUCAGUGGGUACCAUUACCUGGGAGGCGGGGGCUGAUGGGGAAACACAUCUGGGUUGGUGAUUCUCAUUUUCCACCUGCUCUGUGGGUUGGGUUUAAGGAUUUGGGAUGCAGCUGAGUGGAGGUGUUCAAGAUGCAGGUAGCUGGACAGGUCUGGAAUUUAGAGGCGAGGUCUCGGUUACAGUUCUUGGUGGGGGACAAGUCGGGGUGGGGAGCAAAAACCUUUGUGAAAAUGCCAGGAUCCCAGCAGAAAAUCGACGCAUUUGACUCCGUUUCCCAUACGACAUCACUGCCACCACAGCUGCAGCACAUUUUGCACAAAUUCAGGCAGUGGAACUUGCUGGGGAGAAAUUAAACCAGAAAGAAUGUGUGAGGAAGACAGUGUGCUUUGAUGAAAUGAAGUUUGUUCCCCGAACCACUUGCCACAGCUCUUCAUCUCAUUUGUCAAGACCAAUCUUUUUAGACAAAAAAAAAAAAUGUAUUUUGAUCAAGUCUUUAGACACUCGGUUGGAAAAGGCUCCUUAACGGAUGGGGCUGGAGAGAAUAAUCAGACAGCAAUUUCCUUGGUCCUAGUUGAAAAAUCGUGAUGAGCUGAGCAGAGGUGCUUUGACCGACAAUGUACAGAGCAUAACUUGAUGUCCAUCUGACUAAGUCUUUAGCGCUCUAAAUUCUUUAGAACAGCCCCUCCAUGUCAGCACGCAACUUCACGGCCCUUUUUGAAGUGACAAGAAUACAUUAAGAGGGGCUAUGUCAAUCUGAAAAGUGACCCUCUCCGAGGUAGGCUCUGGUGAUGAGUGACUGAGGUGAGGACACCUGAUGGGGCCCUUGUUCCAAGAAAGUGUCUCCUUCAGCUUCUAGAACUUGCCCAUUAGGAAGAGACAGGAAGGGCGACGCACCCUCGUUGGAGCCCAAGAACACAGCCUCCCCUGUCUGCUCGCUGGGGGACCCUGAGACGUGAGGCGAGGGGAGAAUUCUCAGGGGGACCGCAGCAGCUAUGAGCAGCCAUAUGCCACAUUGUCAGCAUCCAGCGAAGGGAAUCAGGGGAAAAUAUGCUUUACCUGCUAUAUCGUUUUUCUCGGGCUACUGUUCAAAAAAAUAAUACUAAUAACAGCCCAAACUAGAAAGUGUAAACAAUGGAAAUUUUUGGUCUCAAUCCCGGAGGCUGGAAGUCCAAGAUCAAGGUGCGGGGCGGGCAGGGUUGGUUGCUCGUUUCUGGCCUUCUCCUCCCCGUGGCUCCUCCUGUCUGGUUCUUCUCCUUUUGUGAGAUUAGGGCCCAGACUAACGACUUCAUUUUCACUUGUUUACAUCGAUAAAAACACGAACCCCAAAGAAGGUCACAUCCUGAGGUACUAGGGGUUGGGAUCUCAACAUGUCAUUCAACCCAUCACACCUGUCAGGCCCGCAAUCUGGACCCACGGUGCGGGGCCUACGGCUGGCCAGAGACUCUGAGGCUUGGACCCCUGGGCCGGGCCACGGGGUACCCCUGGAAACCAUACUGUGCCACAGGGCUCAGGUGAGGCCACAACUCAGUUUUCAGAAACUGCCAGAAGCCUUGGGCAGAGGCCCUGGGAAAGACAGCAAAAGGACUCAUCCCCAGGUCUGACACCUCCCCAAACGCCAGCUCCGAUGGCCUGACAGUGAGUGCAAGUGCAACGUGUUCUUCCACUUAUCCAAGUACAUUUCAAAUCCAUUUUCCGAACUGAAAGCACAGAAGGAGGAAAUAAAGAGAGGUGACUCAGCUCAUUACAAACUGUGAUUGAAAAUUACAGUAACUUGGACAUAUGCUAAGCCUUCUCUUUUAAUAAUAAAAUGAAGGAUCAAAUGUAUUGCUCAAUCUUCAUGCAGUUUUCUCUCUCUGAGGUCUACAGACCAUCUGUUACCCCUUUUCUUCUUCUUUUAAAAAAUUGUGGUAAAGUGCCCAUAACAUAACAUUUACCAUCCUCAAGUGUGAAGUUCAGUGGCGUUCAGUGCAUUCCCAUUGUUGGUCAGCCAUCAUCAGCACCAUCCUGCUCCAGAAUGGUUUUCAUCUUCCCACACUGAAAACCCCUACCAACUGAACACGUCCCCAUCUCCCCUUUUCCUACAUCCCUUGGUACCCAGCAUCCUAUUGUCUGUCUCUGACUAUGAAGACCCCCCCUUGUCUAACUCCAUGGACCAUACGACAGCAUCGUUUCCUAAGCGGAACUUUAUAGGAAAAGCAGCUGGGAGGCGGUGGACUAUGCGUCGUCCUCGCAGCCACUGGCCACGUCACCUGGAGCUCUUCCUACCUCCUCUGUGCAUUUCUCCUCUGUCGUGUCCAGCCCAGCACUCAGGACGCGUGGAUGCCCCCCCUUCUCAGGGUUCAAAUGAAAACAGAGCCAUUCAUUCAGCUGCCUUAUUCUGAAUGUUGCUGCUGUACCAGGUACGCAGGUAAACAGACUUUACCUACCUCGUCGCACAUCAUCCUCACCACAGCGGCCACCGUUAGCCACUGACAGACAGCGAAGGCUCAGAAAAGUCGGAAUACAUCAGCCAGGUUUACGACGAUGACGUGGCAGAGGCACUUUGAACUCAGGGGGGCUCUCGUUCCAAAGCCUGCACUCCCUUCGACUCACACUCAACUGCAGACCGAGUCAUGUCUUCUGGUUCAUCUCCUCCUACCAGACUGAGCAUCACUUCCGCAUUGUUUAACAGCCCCCCGGCACACAGUAGGUGCUUCCAGAGCGCUUCUAGACUGGGCUGCUUCCUCGGGUCUGCUGUGUUGCGCACAGCACCCACCAGUGAGAGUCAACGGCAGCCUGGGCUUCUCACUAACAUCCGCGGACUGAUGUGACCUGGUUCCGUCAGGUCUGUAUUUUCUUCAUUGGCUUUGAUGGCUUCCAAACGCAAGCAAAGCGUUUCAAAACGUAACAACUGAAACACUGACCUCUUUGCCAAGUAGAAAGUUAGUACACUGUAAUUAGAUGUCUACAAGCAAUUUCAGCCCAUUUCGUCUCGUGGAUCUAUAAUCGCUUUCCAGUUACUAUAAUGACUUUAUUUUCGGACCCAUUUUUGCAUACUUUUAAAUGGUUUCCACUUGGCUCAAUAGCUCUUGAUCCAUUAGAGCUUUUAAACUUGCCACGACAGCACAGCACAUGGGUACAGCCCUACGUUCUACCAGCACUGGAAAUAAUAUAUUGCUUUCAAAAUACCACCUUGGCAGAAAUCGACUGACAAGCCUAAAAUCACAAUCUCUCAUGAAGCACACUGUAGAUGAUGAGGGCACUUGCCCUCGAAAGUGAACACGUCAUUAAUUCCCCCCAAAACACUAUUGCUGCGAGCCUGAUCAACAGUGCUCAAGAGAAAGCAGGGUGGGGCUGUGGGUGGGACCCUCUGUUACAGUAACCGUGACAGAAGGUAACUUCUCGUAGCCCACCUCCCAAUCCACGAAAGCAGGGGGCAGUGGACAAGCCAACCCCAGAUGCUAUUAGAUUCUGACAUUGCUAUUUUUCAUUAUCAUUAGGUUCAAGAGUAUUACAAUCAAGACAAGGGGUCCUCUAGCUUUUAUGUUUACACUGUACAUUUGAUUAUUACCGUUUUGGGUGACACAUCCUAGGGGAUUAAAAGGCUCAAGACAAUAACCAAACAAGCAGAAAGAUCUUACAACACACCAAACCCCAGGGGAGCAACGCCUCUCUCUGUGGAUGCAAGAAUCCCCAGCCAUCCCUCUAGACACGUGGUGGCCCUCCAUUCCUGAGUCACCGUGAGGAGAAGUGUUGGCUGCCCCGUCCAGAGGCCAUCUACUUAGAAAGGAAAGUUCUCACAUGUACCAGAAACCACUCUGCUCUCCUUUGGCUCGUGUCUUACCUGUUCUUUAAAGCCAAUCACAUCCCUUCUCCCCCCACUGCUCAUUAAGUGCAAAAGGGGGGAGAGCAGAGGAGGGGGUGGAGGGAGGGUGACGAGAGGAAGAUUCCACGGGACUUUUGGAUUUACUCUAAGUCUGAGCUGUCAGCAGAACAGGGACAUGAUCUAGACUUUAUUUAUAUUUUUAAUUAAUUAAUUAAUUUUUGCUUCUUUGGGCCGCACCUGUGGUAUACGGAAGUUCCCAGGCUAGGGGUCGAAUCAGAGCUGCAGCCACCGGCCUACACCACAGCCACACCAGAUCUGAGCAGCGUCUGCGACCUACACCACAGCUCUUGGCAACACCAGAUCCUUAGCCCACUGAGCGAGGCCAGAGAUCGAACCUGCGUCCUCGGGUUCAUAAUCUGCUGAGCCACAACGGGAACUCCAACACGCGGCUAUAUGUAGAAGGAAAUAUGGACAGAAUUCGUUGAUGGAUUAGAUACAGGGCAUGAGAAAGGGAUGUCAGGUUAACUCCAAGGUCUGGGCCUGAGCGGCUGCUACUCCCGGAGAUGCGGAAGUUAGCAAGAGGGGCAGCAGACUUCACGGUCGGGUGCAGAAGUCUGGGGUUCAAAGGGGAGGCCUGGGCUGAAAAUGGCAAUUUGAGGGGAGUACUUGCAUGGCCCUUGAAAGCCAUGAUUCUGAGGAAGAUCAGAAAGGCAGGGAGUGCGGGCGAGGGGAGUGAGGCUGCAAGCGGAUGGCCUCUCGGAUGAGGGGGAGCUGUCCAAAGACAGGGAGGAGCAGCACUUCUCCUGGAAACCGGCGACUCUGGAGCCCUGGAAGCCGAGGGAGAAAACACAAGUUGUUUAUUUCAGAGAUCUGUCUGAUUCGCAGCGCCACGUCAGAGCAGAUGACUCAACCGCAGGAAACAUUCUUUCACAGGGAACGAAACUGAGUGGCACUGCUACGGAGCCAUGCAUUCUAAGGACAAGCGCUGUCCUGCCCCAAGUUGUUGCCACAAAGGACCUUUUAUACCAGCAAGCACUCACGGAGCACCGAGAAGGUGGCCCGGGGUUUUAGAGUCAGCCACACCUUGACCCGAACCUCAGUUACACUGGCCGUGUGAUCUUGGACAAGCUGCUUGACUUCUUCUCUGACCCUGCAUUUCUUCAUUUUAAAAGUGGGCCAGGACAGAGUUCCCACUGUGGUGCAACAGGAUCAGUGGUGUGGGAGCACUGGGAGGCAGGUUUGAUCCCCGGCCCGGUACAGUGGGUUAAGGAUCCAGCGUUCCAGCAGCUGCAGAAUAGGUGACAAUUGGGGUUCAGCCAAAAAAGAAAAAAGGAAUUAGGCCGGGAGUUCUCUGGUGACUCGGUAGGUUAAGGAUCUGGCAUUGUCACUGCUGUGGCUUGGGUCGCCGCUGUGGCCCAGGUUCAAUCCCUGGCCUGGGAACUUCUGCAUGCUGUGGGCACUGAUUUAAAAAAAAAAAAAGAGAGAGAGAGAGAAAAAAGCCAUACCUCCCAGGAUAUUGAGAGAGUAAAAAUGAGAAUCUGUGCACAUGUCACUUGGCACAGACUAAAAGCUCAGAGUCUUAUUAGCAUUUCUCUCACGAGAAAUAAUGAAAUUUAGUCUAUUAUCUGAGAAAUCAGUCAUACCACCUUUAUAUUACUGAAACUGAGAGAAAAAUAAACCUAAGCUACGUCUUCGAAUUCUAAGAUACGUGGUCUCUCCCGCUCCCAUCCCCCAGCCCCUGGGGCUUCUACCCCCUUCCCCCCAGGACCCAUCUCCACAGCCCAGCCAGCAUGGUCUGAGCUGGGGUCUCUCCCGUUCAGCCCUCUAACCCUGGCCUUGGCUGAGUGCAGGGCCAAUUUCCAGCCCCGAUCCCAGUAGCUCUCGAAACAUCCCUUGAUGCUUAUUUGAAGCUGCAUGCUCUGCUGCUCAACCCUCUUGGUCUUCUUCCUGUCCUAAGGCUGUGUACUGGAUCCCGAUCCUCUUCUCUCAGCGUCUACACACCUGCACCGGGGAGCCCGUCUUCACCUCUACAUCUAGGCUUGCCCUGUGUCCUGAGCUCCAUACCCACCAACUACCCCCGGGGUGUCUUCCAAGCUUCUCCACAUCCUGGCAAGCACCUCAGGUUUUACCAAGUUCUGAAACAGAAUUCACUCUCUCUCCCACUGCUAAAACCACCCACUUCUCCCCUAGUCAUUCCCCGCUGCUGCCCACACCAGAGACCCUCGGUGCUGCCUUUCUGUCUGCCCGCUUCAAGCCAGAAGUCCAGCUGCUUGGUGUUACAUGGGGCUGGUGUGUCUCGGUCACGGACUAGAGGUGACGUUAACUCUUCCUUUUUGCUUUACUGCCAUUUGGAAAGACUUCCUCCAGAAAUGACCGCCCAAAGAAUCUCUCCAAAUCCUGGUCGUUCAAGGUGCGGUUCCCAGACCUGCUGCAUUUCCAGGCGAUUCUUAGGAACCCUCCGUUUGAGAAGCCCUCCCUCGAUUCUCAUCCACCUCCUGAGAGAAGGCGUAGAGGCACCAGGCCAGACUGGAUGAUGGGCAGGGGCCAUGUCCUCAUCUCAGGAAAAUAAACACUGAAGGAAAAUAAGAUCUGAAAAUCG